CCUACGGGAGGCUGCAGUGGGGAAUAUUGGGCAAUGGGCGCAAGCCUGACCCAGCAACGCCGCGUGAAGGAAGAAGGCUUUCGGGUUGUAAACUUCUUUUAAGAGGGAAGAGCAGAAGACGGUACCUCGUGAAUAAGCCACGGCCAACUACGUGCCAGCAGCCGCGGUAAUAAGUAGGUGGCAAGCGUUAUCCGGAUUUAUUGGGGUUAAAGGGUGCGUAGGCGGGCAUUUAAGCCGGCGGUAAAAUGUCGGGGCUCAACCCCGGCCUGCGGUCGGAACUGGGUGCCUGGAGUGGGCGAGAAGUAUGCGGAAUGCGUGGUGUAGCGGUGAAAUGCAUAGAUAUCACGCAGAACCCCGAUGGCGAAGGCAGCAUACCGGCGCCCUACUGACGCUGAGGCACGAAAGUGUGGGUAUCGAACAGGAUUAGAUACCCGUGUAGUC
rnacentral:rRNA from 1 species